UAAAAGUUGGGGGAGACAACAAUAAUAUAACAUCACAUCUAUUCGAUCAAAAAGGGGGACGCACAAUCAGAGAGUAGGCGAUCAAGAGAAAAAAAAGUUUAUUGGAUCGAGCUUCAAGAUUGGGAUUUAAGAUUCGGGUCGAUUAGGCAACGAGUUAUUGUUCGGAAUACAUUAAGUUAUCGCAGGAAAGAAUGGUUUGUCUGUAGCGGUAAUCAUUGAGGCUGAAGAUUUGGUGAAACUAUCAGAGCCUUGCGAUUUGGAUAAAUCUUUUGCAAUUAGCCAAUCAAUACAAGAUGACGGAGUUAAAGGUGGAUUAAUUGCUUUAUACGGGAACAUCUAGAAAGCUGUGGAAGUUAAUUCAUCAAACAAGAAUAUUACACUUAUAAUUGAUGAUAAUUCUCUUCUGGAAGUGGCUGCUAAUGGUUCUACAAAAGACAUUUUAAAUUUGAUGCAUUACUACCAUACAUUAACCACACAAUUUAGCGUUGUACAAUAAUUACUGAUCUUCAUGAGGACAUUUAUUCAAGUGGAGAUGGAUUUACAUUUCCUUUACAAAUGGAGUACCUUGCUGACAUCACCAUAAACUGAGCCUUUGAUAACCGGGUUGGCAGCAGAUGUUCACGCUUUUGUAGCGUUUAGAUUGAUUUGAGUGUGUGAGUUAGGACAGGCCAGCACUUUUACAGAAUUUUAGUGAGAUAUGAUGGAUCCAGAAGACCUACAAUCAGACCUACUUGCUUUGAGAAGGUUAUAUAGGCUUCUUGUACAAGAUGAACACUAUAUAGAAGAUGAAGCCUCAGAAAAUUUGUAGUUGUAGCAUUAAAUCUGUCUUCAUACGAUAACGCAAGACGUUUAUUAAUAAAUUCACUUGAUGCUGCUGCGAAUAAAACUUUCGAUGCUCAUGCAAAGAUUCUAGAUGCUCAAAUUAAGCAACGAAUAGCUUGUGGUCAACGCCGCAAGGGCCAUCUAGAGACGGGCUAAAUCUGCGAUCAUUUUCAAUGGGAAAAGCACCAACUAAUGCUGCUUAUGUUGACCUUUUAACUGGUGAUUGGAAUUUCAGUGAGUCAACUGAUCAAGCAGACCUUGCAGGUGAUCCUGGCACCAGAAUCAAAUGAUGCCGGGUGUAUUUCUGUAAGACUGACCAAAACUAAAGACCAGGACAAAAUAGAAGUGUUAAUGGUAUUUUCACCAAACCAUGAUGACAUGGUAUUCCCUAAUGGGUACAAUACAUUCCUGGUGGUAAGAUUCAAAAACUCGAGCAGUGUGCAGCUACGCUUCUUAUGGGCUGCAGUUGUGGUUCUCUAUCUUUAAACGGCUCAUACACUCGAAAAAGGGCUCCAUUGCAUUAUAUGUUUGCUCAGGCUGAAUACAAGACUGUGAAGAAAGCAGCAAUGGUUAUUUCUUCUCAAUAACGAUUACAUUUGGGAUCGCUCUUGGGAUCGCGUUGUCGAAGACAUACAAAGAGAAUAGCCCAAGUUCAUUAAUCAUAGUUGGUUUACUCAACGCUUCAUCAGCUAGACUUCUUUAUCUACAUGGCAGUGGUCGAUUUCAAAUUAAGUCUUAUGCAACCGUCUUACCAGGAAACGACAUAGAUGUUAAUGAACAUAACGAGCCAAUUGCGAGCUUGGAGAGAAUUAGGGAAUAAGAGAUUCCUAGGGACACUAACCCAUUGGCGAUUGUGGCGGAUAAUAAUCUGAGAGUGGCAUCUUUAGAGAGAAUGCACUAAGCGUUGCAAGAUGACGCGAAGCUAGCGUCUUCAACUGUCUCAAUAGCAGCUGCUACUUCUGUUGCUAAAGUGGCUGCAGCUGCUGCUAAAAUCGCAUCAGACGUUGCUGAAACAAGCAAGAUUGAUGUGUUGGAGAUCGGGCCCACAAUCAAGUGGGACAAAGGAAAGGCUCUUGAGUUUUUGUUAGAGUCACUUGGUGUUGUUCCUAUGUCAAGACGAUGAAAGUCAGAGACAUUUAGAGCACAGUACAUUGAUGCAAAAGAACUCAAUGUCUGUUAGUACAUGGAAUGUUGCUGGGAAACUGCCACCAACUUUGGAUGUUUGUUUUUCCUUUUGUAAUAUUUGUUUUUGAAACAGAGGUUAGGAUUCCAAACAGUGGUAUGAGAAACAUAUGUUCGAAACCUUUGUUUGAUUACAAACAGAGUCUUGAGAAAUAGUGAUUUGGCGAAACAGAGAUUAC
rnacentral:lncRNA from 1 species